rnacentral:rRNA from 1 species
UACAGAGGGUGCGAGCGUUAAUCGGAAUUACUGGGCGUAAAGCGCACGUAGGCGGCUUGGUAUGUCGGGUGUGAAAUCCCCGGGCUCAACCUGGGAACUGCAUCCGAAACUGCCUUGCUCGAGUAUGGGAGAGGGAAGUGGAAUUUCCGGUGUAGCGGUGAAAUGCGUAGAUAUCGGAAGGAACAUCAGUGGCGAAGGCGGGUAGCUGGGCCG